rnacentral:rRNA from 2 species
UGGGGGACGCAUAGCUUAGGCUGGUAUAUUUGGUUUAAUUAAGUAAUUUAUUUUUAUUUGGUUUCUUUUUAAGUUCAUCCUUAACAAAUAAGGAAAAUUAACAAGAUUAAAUUUUAAUUAUAAGUUACUUAAUUAAUUAGAUAAGUAUAAUAUAUUAUAUUUACAAUAUAAUAUAAUUUAGCUGAAUUUCUUAGGAAGUACAGACGAACAAGUAUAGAUCGAUUUUAUCGAAUAAAGUUCUAGAUAAUAUAUUAAUUAUGAUAAUUAUUAUCUAUAUGUCUUGACCAAAUUACGUGCCAGCAGUCGCGGUAAUACGUAGAAGACUAGUGUUAUUCAUCUUUAGUAGGUUUAAAGGGUACCUAGACGGUUAAAUUAGUCCUUAAGGAUACUGUUUGACUAGAGUUAUAUAUGAGGAGGUGAGUAUUUAAGGAGUAGAGUUGAAAUUCUGUGAUACUUUAAGGACUGAUAACGGCGAAAGCAACCUUUUAUCUAGUAACUGACGUUGAGGGACGAAGGCUUGGGUAGCGAACAGGAUUAGAUACCCUAGUAGUCCUUGCAGAAAAUUAUGAAUGCCAUAGAUUAGAAAAUGAUUUAGUCUAUAAAUGAAAGUGUAAGCAUUUCACCUCAAGAGUAAUGUGGCAACGCAGGAACUGAAAUCAUUAGACCGUCUCUGAAACCAGUAGUGAAGUAUGUUAUUUAAUUCGUAGGUACGCGAAAAACCUUACCACAAUUUGUAUAUUAUCUUAUCGGGAUAAUACAAGCGUUGCACGGCUGUCUUCAGUUAAUGUCGUGAGAUAAUGGUUAAGUCCUUUAAAUUAACGGAAGCCCUUGCUUUAUUUGUAUCAAUAGCUUAUUUUUUUUUUAUUUUGCUUUAUGGAAAGUUAACAAGAAAUAAUACAAACCUAUAAACAGGUAUUUCUAGUUAUAUAAAUAAAUGAUGAUAGAAAAAAAAAUAAGAAUUUUAGAUAAAUAAGGCAGUUCACCUUUAUAUGGGAAAUGACAACAGGACCAA